AUUUAUUGGUGUCUAAAGAAAGCAACGGGGGGACCCCCACCUUACUUACCUGGCCAAUUUGAUUAAGCGAUCUUGAUAUUGAAAAACCCUAAUGUUGAAAACACUAUUAAGGACCUUCCUUCAUGCUAGGUUAAUGUUACAUCAUGAACUAUGACUAGUUUGUUGUGUUAACAUAAGGCUUGUCAUAAGGAUUGAUAUAACAUAAUCCUGG
rnacentral:lncRNA from 1 species